rnacentral:rRNA from 1 species
AUUGAACGCUGGCGGCAUGCCUUACACAUGCAAGUCGAACGGCAGCACGGGUGCUUGCACCUGGUGGCGAGUGGCGAACGGGUGAGUAAUACAUCGGAACAUGUCCUGUAGUGGGGGAUAGCCCGGCGAAAGCCGGAUUAAUACCGCAUACGAUCUACGGAUGAAAGCGGGGGACCUUCGGGCCUCGCGCUAUAGGGUUGGCCGAUGGCUGAUUAGCUAGUUGGUGGGGUAAAGGCCUACCAAGGCGACGAUCAGUAGCUGGUCUGAGAGGACGACCAGCCACACUGGGACUGAGACACGGCCCAGACUCCUACGGGAGGCAGCAGUGGGGAAUUUUGGACAAUGGGCGAAAGCCUGAUCCAGCAAUGCCGCGCGUGUGAAGAAGGCCUUCGGGUUGUAAAGCACUUUUGUCCGGAAAGAAAUCCUUGGCUCUAAUACAGUCGGGGGAUGACGGUACCGGAAGAAUAAGCACCGGCUAACUACGUG